rnacentral:pre_miRNA from 1 species
AAACAUCCCCUUAUGUUUUGAUUCUUUGGCAAUUUUGGACCCACAAGACAAAAAAUAAAUAAAAAUUUGACAUGUGGCACCUCACUUAGGGUGCCACGUCAACGUUGACCGAGUCAACAAUGGACUGGGGGUCCAAUACUGCCAAAGAAUCAAAACAGAGGAGACUGUUU